rnacentral:lncRNA from 1 species
GACAGCUGUGAUAGCGUGCCAAGCACUGCAUUAGGGACUAGGGGUGGGGAUGAUGAAGGCAGGGGCUGCUCCUGUAGCUGAGAUCUGGGGUUGACCUUCGGAGUCAGUGUGAGGAGGUCAGAGAAUGACCGAUUUGGGUUUUAGCCUACUAACUGAUCACUGAGAGCAACCCCAUGAACAUGCUAAGCAGGAUUAAAUUUAUCAGUGUUGGGACAGCUCUGUGGAGUAGCUGGAGCCAUCCCUGCGUUUGCCGCCGGGGUUAGGACCAACUGGAGUGUCUCCUUCCUGAGCAUUCAGCCUACAAUCCCAAGGGACUGAGUUGGCUCCAGUGCAGUAUACAUGGAAGUGGUACUUGCUCUUUGGGGCUUGGCCUCAGAACUAUCCUGGAUGGAGGUCAGAGCUUACCGUAUGGUCAGGUCUGUCUUCGCAUAGCCGUCGUACUGUGUGCUCCUCUGCAGUGCAUGCAUAUCCAGUUCAGGACUGCCACAAACCAGGAUUUCUACUUCUUCUGGACGAAGCAGCUAUCAAUAAUCACAAAAACCAUAAUUCAAAAUGAUAGUCUUGCCGGGCAGUGGCGGUGCCCUCCUUUAAUCCCAGCACUCGGGAGGCAGAGGCAGGCGGAUUUCUGAGUUCGAGGCCAGCCUGGUCUACAAAGUGAGUUCCAGGACAGCCAGGGCUGCACAGAGAAACCCUGUCUUGAAAAUCCAAAUUUAAAAAAAUGAUAGUCUUAAAUGAAAUUUGAAGUGUUUUUAUUGCAGAAUCAAAUCAUAGAAAUUAUGACACUGUCUCAGUAAAUAAAAUUACUUUUUUGUUGAAGAAAA